GACCCGAUUCCCGUCCCCGGAACGACGUCGUCUCCGUCCGGUUCCUCUUCCCAGCCGCUGGCUCCGGCGUCCUCCGCGGCGGCUUGGGCCCUUUCUCUCUCUGGCUAGCAACCUCGCCGGAGUAAGGACGCUUCCGCCGCACCACCGGCCCAGAAGACCCAUUUGCUCUGGGGCCCAAUUCCCGCUUCCGAUUACUGGUAGCUUCGUCUUCUCUGGCAUCUGCAAUAGUAGUGGUGGUCGUCGUCGUUGAGUACGAGUAGCUCUCGCUGAUCCCACACGGCUCUGAAAGCUGAGAAGCCUCGGAAACCGCCGCCUCUUUGGGCGGCG
rnacentral:lncRNA from 1 species